rnacentral:tRNA from 1 species
GGGAAUGUCUGUGGCUUAGUGGUACAGCAUCCUCUUCCCAUACAGAAGGUCUCGGGUUCAACCCCCAGCAUCUCCA